rnacentral:ncRNA from 2 species
UUUACACUCCCUCACGUUGGUGCUCGCGCCCGCCGUUCACGGCAGCGCGGUUAAACGGGAAGCAGGAAGGUCACGCCCCACGGGCCACACCCAACCUGCGCUGCCCCCGCAACGGUAAGCGGACGGCCGGGCUUUCAAGCCUUGCCCGCUCCUGUGCUCAGCCACUGGUUUCGACAGAUGCCGGGAAGGUCGCAGGGGUUGUUCCGCCAGCCCGGAUACCGGCCAACAGGGGGACGCGUGC